UUCCUCCCCCACUAGUCCUCACCUGGACAGAGGCAGCAUCCGUGGAGAGCAGACAGUGCUUCCAUAGAGCAUCAGUUCUGGGGGAGUGAGGUGGAGAGACUGGGUGAAAUGGACCUUGGUCUGGCACCCACAGCAGGAACUUACCAGACAUAACAAAAAAACAAGAAAGUUUUCUCGGGUCCUGGAUGGAAUUUCCGGUGCGAAGGAGAGAUGCUGACCCCAGAAUGGCCAGCUGGUCGAAGCACUCACCGGGGAGGGCUUGCCAACCUUUAAGGCUGACCAAGGAUGAUGUAUUACAAGGAGAACUGGCCUUAAACAAGAGAAGGGCGAGUUUAGACUAGAUACAAGGAAACCCUUCUGACAGUAACGUAGUUCUGAGAUCCCACCCAGGUCUCUAUCGAUUGCUCAAGCAGACUUGGGAAGGCAGCAACAAGCUGAGCAGUGAUGAUUUUUCAAAGGAGAGAGCAUGGUUAGUGCAGGGGAUUAGGAGUCUGGAUUCCUUUUCUACCUCUGACAUUGGGUGCCUUUGGCCAAGUUACUUCCCCUCUCUACACCUUACUUCCCCAAUUGUGAAAUGUCCCAAUGGCACAGGAAGGUAAUGCGUGUGCUUGUAGCUAAAAAUUGUAACUGUGCAAAAUAUCAUUCAUAUCAAUCCGCUGUUCCUACCAGUUUACACUGCUUCUCCGCGAGACAGGCCCACAAACCCACCAGGAGGAAAAGCACAGAGAUGAAGAUGAAGAGCUGACCCAACUCUCUGAGGAAACAGUGAUUUACAUUUCUGUGUAAAGCCCCCGUAGCCUCAAACUGCGGGGUUUGGAAAAGCUUACACAUCCGAGCCGCGUGUGUAUGUUGGAGAACCACAUUGCAUGGCCGCUAGUUUACAUUGGUAGCUAAACUUCUUU